rnacentral:lncRNA from 1 species
AGAGUAUGAGGCAUGAACUCUGCUUCAUAUAGUGCUAGAAAUUGGGUUUAAUUGUUUCUGAUGUGGGGUUUGGGUUUUUGAUGUCAAUUGGAUAUACCUGAACCUACUCAAAGCCUUUGACACACCGACUAUUCAAUCCAUAUUUGAAGAGGUUUGACUCGUUUAUGUGAACUACCUGCCUAUAUAAUGAAGUUUACUAAUGUCUUAUUUGUAGUUGCAAACAAGGAUCUGUAGUUGCAGAA